rnacentral:tRNA from 1 species
GGGCGUUUAGCUCAGCUGGUUUAGAGCAUCUGCCUUACAAGCAGAGGGUCGGCGGUUCGAAUCCGUCAGCGCCCACUA